AGAGUUUGAUCAUGGCUCAGAUUGAACGCUGGCGGCAGGCCUAACACAUGCAAGUCGAGCGGUAACGCGGGGGUAACCCUGGCGACGAGCGGCGGACGGGUGAGUAACGCGUAGGAAUCUACCUGGUAGUGGGGGAUAGCCCGGGGAAACUCGGAUUAAUACCGCAUACGCCUUAAGGGGGAAAGCAGGGGAACUUCGGUCCUUGUGCUAUCAGAAGAGCCUGCGUUGGAUUAGCUAGUUGGUAGGGUAAAGGCCUACCAAGGCGACGAUCCAUAGCUGGUCUGAGAGGAUGAUCAGCCACACUGGGACUGAGACACGGCCCAGACUCCUACGGGAGGCAGCAGUGGGGAAUAUUGGACAAUGGGGGCAACCCUGAUCCAGCCAUGCCGCGUGUGUGAAGAAGGCCUUCGGGUUGUAAAGCACUUUAAGUGGGGAGGAAGGGGUGAUUAUUAAUACUAACCAUCAUUGACGCUACCCACAGAAUAAGCACCGGCUAACUCUGUGCCAGCCGCCGCGGUAAUAC
rnacentral:rRNA from 1 species